UACGGAGGGGGCUAGCGUUGUUCGGAAUUACUGGGCGUAAAGCGCACGUAGGCGGCUUUGUAAGUUAGAGGUGAAAGCCCGGAGCUCAACUCCGGAAUUGCCUUUAAGACUGCAUCGCUCGAAUCAUGGAGAGGUGAGUGGAAUUCCCGGUGUAGCAGUGAAAUGCGUAGAGAUCGGGAGGAACAUCAGUUGCGAAGGCGGCUCUCUGGACCAGCACUGACACUGAGGCACGAAAGCGUGGGGAGCAAACAGG
rnacentral:rRNA from 1 species